rnacentral:rRNA from 1 species
CAGUCGCCGCGGUAAUACGUAGGUGGCAAGCGUUGUCCGGAAUUAUUGGGCGUAAAGGGCUCGCAGGCGGUUUCUUAAGUCUGAUGUGAAAGCCCCCGGCUCAACCGGGGAGGGUCAUUGGAAACUGGGAAACUUGAGUGCAGAAGAGGAGAGUGGAAUUCCACGUGUAGCGGUGAAAUGCGUAGAGAUGUGGAGGAACACCAGUGGCGAAGGCGACUCUCUGGUCUGUAACUGACGCUGAGGAGCGAAAGCGUGGGGAGCAAACAGGAUUAGAUACCCCGGUAGUCCCUGUCUCUUAUAC